GACAGAGGAUGCAAGCGUUAUCCGGAAUGAUUGGGCGUAAAGAGCUCGUAGGCGGUUUGUCGCGUCUGCUGUGAAAACCCGAGGCUCAACCUCGGGCCUGCAGUGGGUACGGGCAGACUAGAGUGCGGUAGGGGAGAUUGGAAUUCCUGGUGUAGCGGUGGAAUGCGCAGAUAUCAGGAGGAACACCGAUGGCGAAGGCAGAUCUCUGGGCCGUAACUGACGCUGAGGAGCGAAAGCAUGGGUAGCGAACAGG
rnacentral:rRNA from 1 species